rnacentral:rRNA from 1 species
UCGAACGUUUUAAUUAAGGCUGGUUUAGCUUAUCAUGUAAGUUAAUAGGCUUCGCCUAUAAAGCUCAUAAUUAAAAAGUGGUGUACAGGUGAGUAUAAUAAUAUUUAUGCCGGCCUUAGAGUGAAGAUAAAUUCUUCAUAUAAUAAAGGGAUUAAGUAUUCCCGCUUUAAGAGGAUGAUAAAUAUUUUCGGGAUAGGUAGUAGUGAAGGUUAUGUCUUCACUAGCCUCAACUCCCGUAGUCGAAAUUGAAAGGUUGAUCGACCACAUUGGGUCUGAAAAAAGCCCAAUGCAAGUUAGUACAGCAGUGAGGAAUAUUGGUCAAUGGCCUAACGGCUGAACUGGCAACUUGGAGAAGUGUUAAGUCUUUAUUUUUGUAUUGUAAUAGGCUACCUUUUAAUAAGCUAUAUGUAAAUAUAGUGCUUAAUUAUUAGGCGGAGCUUCCUAACAGACAAAUUAAAGAUUAAAUUAGUAUUGAAUGAAACUUUGUUUAUAUAUCGAUAAUGACGAUAUAUGUAUUAUGUCUUGACCAAUUACGUGCCAGCAGUCGCGGUAAUACGUAAAAGACUAGUGUUAUUCAUCUUAAUUAGGUUUAAAGGGUACUCAAACGGUCUGUUUUGCACAAAAGACUAGAGUUAUAUAGAAGAAGGUAGUACCUUAAGUGUAGAGAUAAAAUUUAGUUAUACUGGAGGGACUUAGAAAAGGCGUAGGCAACCUUCUAAGUAAUAACUGACGUUGAAGGACGAAGGCAUAGAUCACGAACAGGACUAGUAACCCAAGUAGUCUUUGCAGUCAAUGAUGAAUGCCAUAGGUUAGAUAAAAAUUUAGUCUAUAAAUGAAAAUGUAAGCAUUUCACCUCAAGAGUAAUGUGGCAACGCAGGAACUGAAAUCACUAGACCGUUUCUGACACCAGUAGUGAAGUAUGUUAUUUAAUC